AGCGAACGCUGGCGGCGUGCCUAACACAUGCAAGUCGAACGUGAAAAGGGGCAACCCUGAGUAAAGUGGCGUACGGGUGAGUAACACGUAGGUAAUCUACCCCAGAGUCUGGAAUAACCUGCCGAAAGGCGGGCUAAUACUGGAUAGAGCGACGGAAUCCGUAAAAGGAUUUUUCGGGAAAGGGAGCUCGUAAGAGCCCUUGCUCUGGGAUGAGCCUGCGUCCCAUCAGCUAGUUGGUGAGGUAAAGGCUCACCAAGGCAAUGACGGGUAGCUGGUCUGAGAGGAUGAUCAGCCACACUGGAACUGAAACACGGUCCAGACUCCUACGGGAGGCAGCAGUGGGGAAUCUUGCGCAAUGGACGAAAGUCUGACGCAGCCACGCCGCGUGAGUGAAGAAGGCCUUCGGGUUGUAAAGCUCUGUCGCUCGGGACGAAAACCCCAGAAGUGAAUAGCUUUUGGGCUUGACGGUACCGAGAGAGGAAGCACCGGCUAACUCCGUGCCAGCAGCCGCCGCAG
rnacentral:rRNA from 1 species